rnacentral:rRNA from 1 species
GAUGAACGCUGGCGGCGUGCCUAAUACAUGCAAGUCGAGCGAACAGACGAGGAGCUUGCUCCUCUGACGUUAGCGGCGGACGGGUGAGUAACACGUGGAUAACCUACCUAUAAGACUGGGAUAACUUCGGGAAACCGGAGCUAAUACCGGAUAAUAUAUUGAACCGCAUGGUUCAAUAGUGAAAGACGGUUUUGCUGUCACUUCUAGAUGGAUCCGCGCCGCAUUAGCUAGUUGGUAAGGUAACGGCUUACCAAGGCGACGAUGCGUAGCCGACCUGAGAGGGUGAUCGGCCACACGGGAACGGAGACACGGUCCAGACUCCUACGGGAGGCAGCAGUAGGGAAUCUUCCGCAAUGGGCGAAAGCCUGACGGAGCAACGCCGCGUGAGUGAUGAAGGUCUUCGGAUCGUAAAACUCUGUUAUUAGGGAAGAACAAAUGUGUAAGUAACUAUGCACGUCUUGACGGUACCUAAUCAGAAAGCCACGGCUAACUACGUG